UACAGAGGUCCCGAGCGUUGUUCGGAUUCACUGGGCGUAAAGGGUGCGUAGGUGGUGAGGUAAGUCGGAUGUGAAAUCUCCGGGCUCAACCCGGGAAUGGCAUUGGAAACUGCUGAUCUGGAGGAUCGGAGGGGGGACUGGAAUUCUUGGUGUAGCAGUGAAAUGCGUAGAUAUCAAGAGGAACACCAGUGGCGAAGGCGAGUCCCUGGACGAUACCUGACACUGAGGCACGAAAGCCAAGGGAGCAAACAGG
rnacentral:rRNA from 1 species